GUGGGAGCCUCCAAGUCUUGGACAUGUCCUAGGCUUGCAGGAAAUCCAAAAACCCACCUGGGUUCAGCCAGUCUACAGAAGUCUGAGGCUUAGGGAAACUAGCAACCCCUUAAAGGAACCAGUUUGCACUCACAAGGGCAGAGACUGUUCCUUACUCCUAUCUUUAUUUAGUUCAGUAUUAUGAAAUGUAGCAUAAUGCAUAGGCCGCAAUAGGACUCAUUAGAAAACUACCACGUUUAUAUUAAUGUAAUCAAAUAUAAUGGAUCCUAUGGUACAGUCUCAAAAUGCUUAAUCGACUGCAUCCCAUUUCACCCCUCAAAUUUUCCAGGAAAUAAGACAAAACUUGUCCCAAAGAGGCCCCUUACUUCUCCAAGGCUUUCUGAAUCAUUAACAUUCAGCCUCAACUAUUAAGCUACAAAGGAGUAUUCACUACGAGAAGCAAUGUAUUACUUUCAUUGACCUAAAAAAAUAUAUAUAAUCAUUUAUAAGAUAAAAUUAUAAUACAUAGUACCAUAUUAAAGCCCCAAGAACAUAAAAGAAUAUGGAGAAAUAGUUCUUUUCCUUGUGGAAUUUGCAAUUCUUUUUUUUUUUUUUUUUUUUUUGGAAACGUGGAGGAUAAUGACGAAUCCAGGUAAAUGAUACUCUCCCUCCUAAAUGCCUUCUUUUUCCAAAUGUAUCCAAAGGGGCUCUUGAAGCCAUCUUUCUAAAACAUGGUUCCAAGCCUAGGUCAUAGUCUUGCAUAAGAAAGAAAGAAGAAAAAAAAAAAGCAGUGGUUCCCGAACCCCUGAGCCAUGCCCCCCAGCUGAAUUGGUGUGACUUUCAAGAACACCUCCGUCCCUUUGUACAUGGUUUCACUCUGCCAGAGCAUAUUUUUCCUCUACCCUAUUUUAAGAUCAUUUAUUCAUCUUUGAGCUCCAACUAAAAUAACUUCCUCCCUCAGUCUCAUAGCUUUUCCCCCACAACCUCAUAAUUCUUUUUAGUUCUUCUCACAUGUUCUGAAGUUAUUGUUUAUUUCUUCCAUUUGACUGGGUCUUAUCCAUUUUUAUAUCAACCUAGCAUUGUACUUUGAAUAUAGUACCUCAUACAAAUGUUUGUUGAAUAUAUUAAUUGUAAAGUAUGUGGAAGUAUCUGAAUGACGAGAUAAAAUGGGCAAACUUUAGAGUAUGGAAAGUUGAAUUCAAGUGCUGAAUGAUAGGCUUGGCAAAGGAGAUAAAAGUAGGCAAGAGAAAUUCAGAAAACAAAAUUAUAUCUGCCUAUGUCUUUCCCUACUGAAUUUGUUCUAAUUAAGAAGAAUCCAUAUAUUCAACAUGCCUCAAAGUUUUAAAUUUUAAAGGUUCAUAUACAUCACUGUUUUCAUUUAUCUUUUUAUCCUACCACCUAACACCAGCUUUGGCACAGAAUAAAAACCCAAUAUAGAAGUUGGCAAAAUGAGAGGAAGUAUGGUGUAAUAGAAAGAGCUUGGAUAUUACAAUCAGACAAAAGUCAGUGAUGUUGGGCAAGCAUUGACGUUUUCUGAGCUUGGGUGUUCUUAUUUAUUAAAUGCUGACAUUGCCUUUCUACUAAUGUUGUUGUAAGAAUUAAAAACCUCCAGCACCUG